UUAAGCGACUAAGCGUACACGGUGGAUGCCCUGGCAGUCAGAGGCGAUGAAGGACGUGCUAAUCUGCGAAAAGCGUCGGUAAGGUGAUAUGAACCGUUAUAACCGGCGAUGUCCGAAUGGGGAAACCCAGUGCAAUUCGUUGCACUAUCGUUAACUGAAUACAUAGGUUAACGAGGCGAACCGGGGGAACUGAAACAUCUAAGUACCCCGAGGAAAAGAAAUCAACCGAGAUUCCCCCAGUAGCGGCGAGCGAACGGGGAGCAGCCCAGAGUCUGAAUCAGCUUGUGUGUUAGUGGAACGGUCUGGAAAGUCCGACGGUACAGGGUGAUAGUCCCGUACACCAAAAUGCACAGGCUGUGAACUCGAAGAGUAGGGCGGGACACGUGGUAUCCUGUCUGAAUAUGGGGGGACCAUCCUCCAAGGCUAAAUACUCCUGACUGACCGAUAGUGAACCAGUACCGUGAGGGAAAGGCGAAAAGAACCCCGGCGAGGGGAGUGAAAAAGAACCUGAAACCGUGUACGUACAAGCAGUGGGAGCACCUUCGGGUGUGACUGCGUACCUUUUGUAUAAUGGGUCAGCGACUUAUAUUCUGUAGCAAGGUUAACCGUAUAGGGGAGCCGCAGGGAAACCGAGUCUUAACUGGGCGUUAAGUUGCAGGGUAUAGACCCGAAACCCGGUGAUCUAGCCAUGGGCAGGUUGAAGGUUGGGUAACACUAACUGGAGGACCGAACCGACUAAUGUUGAAAAAUUAGCGGAUGACUUGUGGCUGGGGGUGAAAGGCCAAUCAAACCGGGAGAUAGCUGGUUCUCCCCGAAAGCUAUUUAGGUAGCGCCUCGUGAACUCAUCUUCGGGGGUAGAGCACUGUUUCGGCUAGGGGGUCAUCCCGACUUACCAACCCGAUGCAAACUACGAAUACCGAAGAAUGUUAUCACGGGAGACACACGGCGGGUGCUAACGUCCGUCGUGAAGAGGGAAACAACCCAGACCGCCAGCUAAGGUCCCAAAGUCAUGGUUAAGUGGGAAACGAUGUGGGAAGGCACAGACAGCCAGGAUGUUGGCUUAGAAGCAGCCAUCAUUUAAAGAAAGCGUAAUAGCUCACUGGUCGAGUCGGCCUGCGCGGAAGAUGUAACGGGGCUAAACCAUGCACCGAAGCUGCGGCAGCGACACUAUGUGUUGUUGGGUAGGGGAGCGUUCUGUAAGCCUGCGAAGGUGUGCUGUGAGGCAUGCUGGAGGUAUCAGAAGUGCGAAUGCUGACAUAAGUAACGAUAAAGCGGGUGAAAAGCCCGCUCGCCGGAAGACCAAGGGUUCCUGUCCAACGUUAAUCGGGGCAGGGUGAGUCGACCCCUAAGGCGAGGCCGAAAGGCGUAGUCGAUGGGAAACAGGUUAAUAUUCCUGUACUUGGUGUUACUGCGAAGGGGGGACGGAGAAGGCUAUGUUAGCCGGGCGACGGUUGUCCCGGUUUAAGCAUGUAGGCUGAUUGUCCAGGCAAAUCCGGAUAAUCAAGGCUGAGGUGUGAUGACGAGGCACUACGGUGCUGAAGUAACAAAUGCCCUGCUUCCAGGAAAAGCCUCUAAGCAUCAGGUAACAUUAAAUCGUACCCCAAACCGACACAGGUGGUCAGGUAGAGAAUACCAAGGCGCUUGAGAGAACUCGGGUGAAGGAACUAGGCAAAAUGGUGCCGUAACUUCGGGAGAAGGCACGCUGGUGUGUAGGUGAAGUCCCUGCGGAUGGAGCUGAGACCAGUCGAAGAUACCAGCUGGCUGCAACUGUUUAUUAAAAACACAGCACUGUGCAAACACGAAAGUGGACGUAUACGGUGUGACGCCUGCCCGGUGCCGGAAGGUUAAUUGAUGGGGUUAUCCGUAAGGAGAAGCUCUUGAUCGAAGCCCCGGUAAACGGCGGCCGUAACUAUAACGGUCCUAAGGUAGCGAAAUUCCUUGUCGGGUAAGUUCCGACCUGCACGAAUGGCGUAAUGAUGGCCAGGCUGUCUCCACCCGAGACUCAGUGAAAUUGAACUCGCUGUGAAGAUGCAGUGUACCCGCGGCAAGGAAUUUCGCUACCUUAGGACCGUUAUAGUUA
rnacentral:rRNA from 1 species